rnacentral:tRNA from 1 species
GGGGUAUUAGCUCAGUUGGGAGAGCGCCUGCUUUGCACGCAGGGGGUCAGCGGUUCAAGUCCGCUAUGCUCCA